rnacentral:rRNA from 1 species
CGGCGCACGGGUGAGUAACACGUAUCCAACCUGCCGAUGACUCGGGGAUAGCCUUUCGAAAGAAAGAUUAAUACCCGAUGGCAUAGUUCUUCCGCAUGGUAGAACUAUUAAAGAAUUUCGGUCAUCGAUGGGGAUGCGUUCCAUUAGGUUGUUGGCGGGGUAACGGCCCACCAAGCCUUCGAUGGAUAGGGGUUCUGAGAGGAAGGUCCCCCACAUUGGAACUGAGACACGGUCCAA